rnacentral:rRNA from 1 species
AGCGAACGCUGGCGGCAGGCCUAACACAUGCAAGUCGAACGAACCUUUCGGGGUUAGUGGCGGACGGGUGAGUAACACGUGGGAACGUGCCUUUAGGUUCGGAAUAACUCAGGAAAACUUGUGCUAAUACCGAAUGUGCCCUUCGGGGGAAAGAUUAAUCGCCUUUAGAGCGGCCCGCGUCUGAUUAGCUAGUUGGUUGAGGUAAUGGCUCACCAAGGCGACGAUCAGUAGCUGGUCUGAGAGGAUGAUCAGCCACAUUGGGACUGAGACACGGCCCAAACUCCUACGGGAGGCAGCAGUGGGGAAUCUUGCGCAAUGGGCGAAAGCCUGACGCAGCCAUGCCGCGUGAAUGAUGAAGGUCUUAGGAUUGUAAAAUUCUUUCACCGGGGACGAUAAUGACGGUACCCGGAGAAGAAGCCCCGGCUAACUUCGUG